rnacentral:misc_RNA from 1 species
UUACCGAGUUUACAAACUCCCAAACCCUUUGUGAACCUUACCUAUCGUUGCUUCGGCGGGAUCGCCCCGGCGCCUUCGGGCCCGGAACCAGGCGCCCGCCGGAGGCCCCAAACUCUUAUGUCUUUAGUGGUUUUCUCCUCUGAGUGACACAUAAACAAAUAAAUAAAAACUUUCAACAACGGAUCUCUUGGUUCUGGCAUCGAUGAAGAACGCAGCGAAAUGCGAUAAGUAAUGUGAAUUGCAGAAUUCAGUGAAUCAUCGAAUCUUUGAACGCACAUUGCGCCCGCCAGUAUUCUGGCGGGCAUGCCUGUUCGAGCGUCAUUUCAACCCUCAGGCCCCCAGUGCCUGGCGUUGGGGAUCGGCGUGGGCGGCGACGGCUCUCCGGAGCCCGAGCCAAUGCCUGCCGGCCCCGAAAUUCAGUGGCGGUCUCGCUGUAGUCCCCCUCUGCGUAGUAGCACAACUCGCAUUGGAGCUCGGCGGUGGCCAUGCCGUAAAACACCCCACUUCUGAAAGUUGACCUCGGAUCAGGUAGGAAUACCCGCUGAACUUAAGCAUAUCAAUAAGCGGAGGAAAAGAAACCAACAGGGAUUGCCUCAGUAACGGCGAGUGAAGCGGCAACAGCUCAAAUUUGAAAUCUGGCCCUAGGCCCGAGUUGUAAUUUGCAGAGGAUGCUUUUGGCGAGGUGCCUUCCGAGUUCCCUGGAACGGGACGCCAUAGAGGGUGAGAGCCCCGUCUGGUCGGACACCGAGCCUCUGUAAAGCUCCUUCGACGAGUCGAGUAGUUUGGGAAUGCUGCUCUAAAUGGGAGGUAUAUGUCUUCUAAAGCUAAAUACCGGCCAGAGACCGAUAGCGCACAAGUAGAGUGAUCGAAAGAUGAAAAGCACUUUGAAAAGAGAGUUAAAUAGCACGUGAAAUUGUUGAAAGGGAAGCGUUUAUGACCAGACUUGGCCCGGUUGAUCAUCCAGCGUUCUCGCUGGUGCACUCUGCCGGUCCAGGCCAGCAUCAGUUCGUCGCGGGGGAUAAAGGUUUCGGGAAUGUGGCUCCUCCGGGAGUGU